UACAGAGGGGGCAAGCGUUGUUCGGAAUUACUGGGCGUAAAGGGCGCGUAGGCGGCCCUCUAAGUCGAACGUGAAAUCCCCGGGCUCAACCCGGGAACUGCGUCCGAUACUGGAAGGCUUGAAUCCGGGAGAGGGAUGCGGAAUUCCAGGUGUAGCGGUGAAAUGCGUAGAUAUCAGGAGGAACACCGGUGGCGAAGGCGGCAUCCUGGACCAACACUGACGCUGAGUGAGCGAAAGCCAGGGGAGCAAACGGG
rnacentral:rRNA from 1 species